UUCCUGAGGAGGUUGAGGUCCUUUAACGUCUGCAGCCCCAUGCUGAGGAUGUUCUAUGAGUCUGUGGGUCCAGUGUUUUAGGCUGUGAUGUCGGCAGCUGGGCUUUCUGGUUUUGGGCUUUUAUUGUCGUGGAUUUUGUUUUGCAUCCGGUUGUUUCGUUCCUGUUCCUUGGCUUGUUGAUUGUUUUCACCGGUGCUUCAUUAGUCGGUCUAUUUAGCGCUUCCGUUUCCGCCGCAUCCUUGUCGGUUUAUUGUUCGCCCACAGCUGUUUGAAGCCGUCCAGGUUUGACCAAGUUAUUCGCCUUGUGACCAUAGUUAUCGCUGCUGUAUUUUGUUUCACGUUGACUUAGAUUUUGUUUGUUUUGGCCACGCCAGUUUUCCGUACUUUGUACGCGCUUUAGUUUACUGUUUUUCUCCGUUCGCACGGUGAGCAUUUUGCCCGUGCUAUUUCGGACUAAAAAGGACUCUGACGUGAGGACGGUCCUCCGUCGUUCGGAUCGCGCGCUAUUAGCCGUCGGACCCGGUGUUGUUACGUGAAGCGCCGUGCGCGCCCAUUGUGCUCCUCCACAGACACCGUGGGCAGGAACUUCUGGAGUAACGCUGGAACGAGGACCCGGGCUCCACAGCCACGCCAUCGCUGUUCCUCAACCUGCCUCCUGCUCGGAGCUUCACCUCGCGUUUGCCCUGUUUUACCAGCUGUUUCCAGGUGCUGAGGGGUCGGACACCUGUCAGCCGCCUGCCUCCUCCAUCCUCCACUUCCUUCGGACGAGGAUCCAAACGCGCAUGGGACAAGCUGAGCUCAGGCUGAGACAACAGCACAGAAAAAAAACAAAUCCAUGCUGCCUGUGAACUCAGCAGGACUGGUCAAGCGUCCGUCAGGCUGGAGGCUCAGCAGACGUCUGGGAGCUUCCACAGAGAGGUCAACAGUAGCCGCGGUGUGUUUGGGUAAAUUAAGCUGGGAUCCCAGGUCACGCUGUGGUCAAUCUGCCACAUCUGGAUGCUUCCACCACUGUCAGCCAGCGGCGACUCGCUCGUCAGUCCAGCCUGACGGAGCCACGGUGUCGAUUCUGCUUUCAGGGUGCACGUGAGGAUGAGGAUAAGGUGUCGAUGACGGUGUUCCUCUCUUACCACUCGCUCACUUAGAACAGAAGACUUGCUGGGACUCAGCCAAUUACCAACAGAACCACUGGACGUCUUUCUCCUCCGGGGUGUGUCCUCCUCCCUCUGACCUCCACCGACACUGGCUCUAUUAGUCAUGCCUGUUGGCAGACCAUGAGAUGACUCAGUGCAGAACACUUGUUGGCUGACUCCAGUUUACAGACUGUAAACUGUAAAGUCAGUAAACUUUCCUGAGCACAGAGGAGAAAUUUACGCACUAAAUCUCUGAAUCUUCUCGCUGGUGCUGCUUCGUGUCUCACUGUAUCUGCGGUGAAGCUGCUGCUGAUGCGUUGGUGUGACUCGAGUGAUGGAUCAGAGCAGCUCUGCCUCUUGCUCUUGUAGUUCACUUGGACCUUUCGCUGCGUGUAGACAUAAUUAGCUCAGCGACUCGUUAGCAUCCAUGCCGUAAAUAAUUCACAGCACUGUCAGAUUCCUCCUCCACUGAUCUCAGUUAGUUCUCAGCGCGGGCACUUGUUUGCCUUAUGUUUUAUUUAUAGAAGUGUUGAUGCAGAACCGACCCACAUUUAACAUCAACUACUUGUUCCACUACAAUGUUUACAGACGUCAGGUUCUCAACAUCGAUAGUGUCCCUAAUAAACUGACCCGACUCCUUGUACCCCACCAGUGGACGCUACGUAUUAAAUUAGAUUGAUUCAAACUGAAGCGCUUCAGGUAGUUUUAUUAUUCAGGAGUUGCUCAUGAGAACACGAAGAAAAAUAAUUCACUCAAGGUGUGAAUUUCAUUUCCAAACACUAGAUUUUUUUAACUAAUUGUGUGAAUGCUAAUGUCUAACCAUGCUGUGGUAUGGGAAGAUCAGAAUAAGUGGAGACUUGUGUGUUGGAAAAAAUCCAGUUAAAGUCUAAGCAUCCGCCCAAGUGAGUCUAGGAACAAAACUAAAGAAAUGACUAUUUAGUUCUUGCAGGCUCUGAUUAACAGGCUGCAAACAAAUGGAAAACUGGAAUUUUCAACUUCGGCACCAGGUAAACUAUAGAAUAAAUAACAUUUUGUUAUGUAGUCCGUGUCACUCAUUUAGGUUAAAAGGUUAAUACAGGAGAAGAGGAAAUUGGCAAGAAGGAAGAAGAAGAAAGGGGAAAUUAGAACAUAUGUAAACCUGUAGUAAGAUUUGUUUUGAGAAAAAAAGUGAACAAUGGGGAGACCCUAGCAAAUAGGGGAGGAAUCAGGGAUCUGUACCCUCCUGUCUCUGUGUGAGGAGCUUUGAUCCACCAAGGAGACGUCAUCUCUACAAGAAUCUGGGACCAGCAAAUGCUGAUGUUGACCAGCUGCAGACCCACAGUGGGGGAGAAAGGACACUCUCUGACCUCUCUCUGACUUCUGUGCAGGACACAGACCAAGACUCUCACUAACUGCUCCUUCCAGGAAAAAAGAUGAUUUUCUUCCAGUAGGUGUUUGUUGAUCGCAGGCACCCGAAUCAGAACAAAAGAGAAGAUGCAACAAAUGCUCAAAAGUGAAGACAGGAAGGUGUUGGUGAAUGGGAGAUGGAAGAACAGCUGCUGACUCUUCAAAGGACUGAACGUGAUGAAAGUUUACACCAGCUGGUGUGAGAAAGGUCCAUUAAAAGGAAUGGAGAAAACAACAGCACUGACAGCGAUCAGAAUCCUAAUGUGACUGUUCUAAUCAAGAAGAACCAGAUCCAGUUCAAUCCAGACCCAAGGAUUUCAUCAAAAUCAGCUAAACCACAGAUACAGCAGACGACGACAGGUCAGAGCAUAGAGAAGACACAGACAUGAACAUAGAAACAUAUAGAGAAGGCAUAAAUUAUUAGGAUGUUUCUCAAAUCAACACUACAUUUCAACAGUAAAUUUAGAAUUAGUAGAUUUUAUAUCCAGACUAUUUAUUUGUGCUCCACAAGUUUUUGAAAAGAAAUCAGUAGGAUUGAAUUACAUUUAUAAAGAUUUUAUAGGGAAAGCAUACAUGUCAGAUUAAUAAAAAACUAGAUGCUUAGAUAGUUUUUCUAUAGUGCAUUUUCAUCCCUGAGUGUAAUCAUGAUAAAUGAUGAAACAGGAUAGUAAUUAUGACCAGAUACUGGUUGAUGUGGAUGUUUACUGGAAUAGAUAAAUCUAAAUAGAUUUUACUUGAGUCUCUGAGUCAAGGGGCCAUUGUUUGACACCUCACCCCCACCUUGUCUGUCCUCACACCAAAGGGUUAAUUAACUUUAGAACCAUAUGGAGCUGUUUUCACCCAGACAGUCCGACAGCUUUGUUAAUGAUUACUAAGUAAAUGUGAAUAUAGCGUAUUCAUGUUAUUUCUUACUCACGUCAUUGGGAUUUGCUGAAACUUCACAGGGUUAAUUUGUGUUAUGUGGCCAGAUUUUUUCCUCCGGAAGGUUUACAAAAUUUGAUUCUAUUAGUAAUUUUCCUAGAAAUAUUGGAUUAUUGUAGAUGCUAAAUUUACAAACAAAACAUUUAAUAGAAUCACUAAGCAAUACCCUAAUCGGAGAUUAUAGAAGAGUAUUACUGUCCAUGGAUUUGCGAUUUUGAAGAGAUCUCUGCAAUAUAACACCUUACUGUACAUGGGAUUCUUUUUUGUGGCAGUCUGUGACAAACUAGUGGUUUGUUCCCCGCUGACGGAGCAGCACCGCCCAGUCUGAGCAAACACACCUGCAACUACGUAGUUGUCAGUUCGCAUCAGAACAGCUGAUCAGCCGUCGAGAGCGGGUGCACACGCUUUCGGGCCGGCACCUGGACAUUUCACCACCAUUCCACCAUUUUGCUUUGCUACACUCUGGACUCUUCACAUACACAUUACACGUCGUUAGUUUGAUUAAAUUGGUUUUGUUGUUUUAUUACUUAUGUAUCGGGAGUAGUCGGACUUCCAUAUCACGCCGGGCGACGCUCGCUUUUUUUUUGCCGGCGAAACCACUAUUGUUUGUCAUUAUUAUUUGGCCCUAUUUGUUUUUUGUGUUUUAGACUUAUUUAUAAUACUUACGUAUUAAUGUACCUAGGGAUUAUUGUGGGGAUAUGUGUUAUUGUGGGAUUUAAGUGUAUACCUGUUUAAGGUGAUUUAUGUCCAGUAGUGUCCAGAACUCUGGAGAAUGGUUCCUCCCAAUUGAAGGGGGUGGGGCCAGGCCUUUAAGAAGAGUGGCCAAAUUCCAUUGGGGGGGUAGGUUGGUUAGAGAGGGAGUUGUUUGGCGAGAGAAAGAUUGUUGGCGAGUAGUGAUGGAUAGAAGAGGCACCAUGAAGCAUUUCAACACAUUGCAAAACUGUAUUGAUACUGUGUCGAUACUGUGUCACUGAAUACUGACACCUGCUGGACCUUGAAAAUUAGCGAUGGGUCCGGCAACACCGAUGCGUCGGCGCAACUGUGUUUAUAAGGAAGCGCAUGUGUCGAGUUACAUUUACGAGUGUUAUGUCAUGUACAGUAGUCACGCAUUGUUCAGCUUGUAAGACGUGCAUUGGUACCAGUCAAAUGCAUAGUCAUGUUAGCCUUCUUUCUUAGCCUUGUUAACCAUGCUCAUGCUCAGCCUCACUCAUGUCUAGCCAUGUUCAUCUUUGUUCGUUUAGGCUUAGCCAUGCUUACUGUUUGUCUACCCAUGCUAGCUAUAAUUAUGCUUAGCUUCGUUCAUGUUUAGCCACGUUCACUUUUGUUUGUUCACGCUUAGCCAAGCUUAUGUUUAGCCUCGUUUACAUCUAGCAUUGGGUACAUACAUACAUAUUCUGUAAAUUUACUUAGCCAGACACCAACAGUGGUGAUGGGAGAAUAAUCGGUCCCCUCCAACCAGACACCAAACCAACCAAAAAAAACUUUAGUCAACAUCUCAAUGUGUCCUCCAGCUGCUCACCUCCUGGAAGCAGGAGCUGAGCUUCUGGACUAAGAACCAGUUUAACCAGAGGAGCUGGAUUGUCAGAUAAACCCACCAGGCGUGGUGUCAACGCUUUGAUAGUAGAAUUCCUGGGUGCGUGCUCAUUUAGAGGCUUGACAUCUUCACUGGUUCUGGCAGCAGAUCUACGAUAUGUCUCAUAUCACGUGUUCAGUGCUAAUGCAGGACACCCAUGCAUGGAGAGGUUGAUCCCAGCUUAAACCAAUUGUUCAGUUAGUGUCUGCAGUGACGCCCAUGAGCUGCUGACUACAUGAACGUAGCAGUGGGCUGCAGAGUUACUGUACAGCUACACAGACGAAUGUCAGCCAGGUUCUGAUGAAAGCCACGUUAUGGGAACCUGUAACACUACUAGUAAAUUGUUGCCAUGGCAAUGAUGCAGGGUUGUGUCCUAUAUGUGGCGCAUGCUGGUUCUGAUCAUGGCUCAUUCAGACGCAAAGCAAAAUAAUGGAGUCAUCAUGACAUGUCUUUGUUGGAUGAGAAAGAGAUGUAAACGCCACCGUUUGCUGGAUGUAUCUGUGACCUGUGGCAGAAAAAGCCCCACCUCUGGCUUCAUUAGCUCGGCUCUACAGGACCACAAAGACGUCCGACUGCCACCCUCCUCAUGGGCCAAAAAUUCAAUCAGCACCGGAGCAUAUGUUGAAUCCUGCCUAUUUCAGGAGCCACAAAAAAACACAGCAGCACUUUUCUAGAGACGCUCUAAGGUUGUGACAGCACCAUAUUCUACCCAGAUGUUUGUGUUUUUAGCUCAGCCGUUUGGACCAUUGGACCCACUUGGAUCCACAAUCAUCAUUUGGGUCAGUGAUGUUUGCAACACACCGCUAUUUUGUCUGGGAAACGCCCGUCCCCACUGGUUACUCAGCUGCUCAUUGAUUCUGUGCCACUGAUUCCCUGGUCCUUAGAAAUCUAGACAGUCUGCUGGAGUGUAACGUGCAUAGUGGCAUGAAAGAAGCCAAGAAUCCCUGGAAGGACGUCAGCACUCGUCUGCUGACUGACGGAGAUAAAACAGACUCGCAUGGGAAGCAGUGAUGCAACAGGCUGGAAACAGGACAGCAGAGAAUGAAAGAACCAUUCACAAGACAAAUGUCCAAGACAAUUAGAGCGAUGAUUCCUUGCUCUUUAUAUUCCCUCAGAAACUUUGUGCUGAUUGAGUGUGAAGAGAAAAUUUCUCCCUAGGUGGCGUCACGGAACAAACAGAGUCAAACGUCCAGGAAAACAGACAAGCCGAGUUAGUACUGUAGACUUUCAGGACGCCUCCUGCCUCCUGCCUCCUGCUUCCUGCCUCCUGCCUACAAACUCCUGUCUCCUGUCUCCUGCCUCCUGCUUCCUCCUUUUAGACUUGUGCCUCCUCCUUCCUGCCUCCUGCCUCUUCCCUGCCAAUGCUUCCUGCUUUCUGCUUUCUGCUUCCUGCCUCCUGUCUCAUGCUUCAUGCCUCUUACUUCCUGCCUCCUGCUUCCUGCCUCCUGCUUCCUACCUCCUGUCUACUGCCUCCUGCCUCCUGCCAAUGGUUCCUGCCGCCUACUCUGGCACCCUCCUUCCUGCUUCCUCCCUCCUGCUUCCUCCUUCCUGCCUCUUCCUUUCUGUUUCUUGCUUCAUGCCUCCUAUUUCUGCAUCCCUCUUCCUGCGUUCUGCCUCAUAAAGUACUUCCUCCUUCCUGCCUCCUGCUUUCAUGUGUCCUUGGCCUGCUCAUUCUAUUGAUUCUGGUGACUUCCUUUUUGCCUUUGCUCUCAGAUCUGAUCAGGUCCAUCUCCUCUGUGUUGGUCCAGGUAGAUUUAGUUAAUGGCUAACCCAGACUUCAUGAGCCAGAGUUAGUGCUAAUGAGAAGCAGGGAUUUAUUUGCUAGGUGUGUGAGGAUCCUGGGCUGGCACUGCCAGCCAUUCUGUUCUUCUUCCUCUGGACCACACCUAUUCCCUCACCACACCAUGCCUCUGCCUUGGGACCACGCCCAUUCCCUCUCUUUGCCUCUGUAAACUCUGCAAUCAGGACAACUUCACACACCUGGAACUCCCCCUGUUGAGCUCGUUGUUUAUGCCAUGCUCUAGCCACGUUGUUCACAUUUUUUUGCUAGUUUUCUUAGUUUGUCUGUUCAUUGUUCUGUUCAUUGAGAGUUUUGCCUCCUGGUGUAUUUUGUGUCGUUUUGAAGAAGUGUUUUGUGGUGUUCAAUUGAGAUUAAAUAAACCGUUUUCAUUUA